rnacentral:misc_RNA from 1 species
GAUGAAGAACGCAGCGAAAUGCGAUAAGUAGUGUGAAUUGCAGAAUUCAGUGAAUCAUCGAAUCUUUGAACGCACAUUGCGCCCUUUGGUAUUCCAAAGGGCAUGCCUGUUCGAGCGUCAUUUGUACCCUCAAGCUUUGCUUGGUGUUGGGCGUCUUGUCUCUAGCUUUGCUGGAGACUCGCCUUAAAGUAAUUGGCAGCCGGCCUACUGGUUUCGGAGCGCAGCACAAGUCGCACUCUCUAUCAGCAAAGGUCUAGCAUCCAUUAAGCCUUUUUUUCAACUUUUGACCUCGGAUCAGGUAGGGAUACCCGCUGAACUUAAGCAUAUCAAUAGCGGAGGA